UAAGACAGACGGUCGCGGCUGCAAGUGCCGAAAGGUAGCAGACGAGGAAAGUCCGGGCUUCACAGGGCAGGAUGCCGGAUAACGUCCGGUGGAGGCGACUCCAAGGCUAGUGCAACAGAAAUAAACCGCGAGCCGGAGUGAAUUACUCCGGCUCGUAAGGGUGGAAAGGCAGUGUAAGAGACUACCGCCUCACUGGUAACAGCGGGGGCAUAUGUAAACCCCAUCCGAAGCAAGACCGGAUCAAAGCGAUGUGGCGGCCCGUCACGCUUUAGGUAGGUCGCUGGAGCCUGAUGGCAACAUCAGGCCUAGACAGAUGACCGUCCAACGACAUAACCCGGCUUAUCGUCUUGCUU
rnacentral:RNase_P_RNA from 1 species